ensembl:lncRNA
CCUCUUCCCAGACCUCAUUUAAGGGUUGGCAGUAGAGGCAAAGGUGUCUGGCUAGAGAUCUCUGUUUAUCUGAGUCCUUCUGAAGGAUUUUCUGGUACAGACAUACCGUUACUUUACCUGGUGACUUGAUACUGAGGAAGUGAACGAGGGGAUGGAGAUAAUCACAAGGGAAACAUCAUGCAAAAUGAUUUAUUUUAGAAAACAAAGACAAUUGUCUAUUUCACAUGCUUACACUGCAGCUAAAGGAAGAUGGGAAACAUCCUGAAAUGAAGUGCAUGAAUUUGUAUUUAAUUAGCCCUUUGCAGCAGGACCAGGUUACAUAUGGAGCUAGGCAAGCUCAAUGCCACCAGAAAUGAGAACAAAAGUGCUGCCAGAUGGAAAACCAAGGAAAAUUAAAUUGAUUUUAUGCAUGAAAAAAAUUAUUCAAUAAGUAAAACAUAUAGAAU